UUUCUCAGAAAGACCUGUUUUGUAUAUGUGAGCAGUGUUGUUUCUUAUGUGUUACACAAAUAGUGGAUGGUUAAUUAGCAGAACAGCUAAUAAUAGUAAUGCUGCACAUAUCCUUUAGAUAACA
rnacentral:snoRNA from 1 species